GUCUACAGCCAUGCCAUCCCGAACGUGCCUGAUCCCGUCUGACCUCAGAAGCUAAGCAGGGUCGGGCCUGGUUAGUCCUUGGAUAGGAGACCACCUAGGAAGAUCAGGUGCUGUAGGCA
rnacentral:rRNA from 1 species